UACGUAGGUGGCGAGCGUUGUCCGGAUUUACUGGGCGUAAAGGGAGCGUAGGCGGACUUUUAAGUGAGAUGUGAAAUACCCGGGCUCAACUUGGGUGCUGCAUUUCAAACUGGAAGUCUAGAGUGCAGGAGAGGAGAAUGGAAUUCCUAGUGUAGCGGUGAAAUGCGUAGAGAUUAGGAAGAACACCAGUGGCGAAGGCGAUUCUCUGGACUGUAACUGACGCUGAGGCUCGAAAGCGUGGGGAGCAAACAGG
rnacentral:ncRNA from 5 species